AGGUUAUCCUCAAAAAGAGAGCUUGAAAAAUACUGAAUUUGUAUCAAGUUCAAAUCAAGAAGAGCAUUUGGCUAAACUAUUUGGUCUUCAGCCCUACUUGAGCAUGAGAAUCCCCUGGGGAGGUUGUUGAAAGGAUGCCUGAUCAGAUUCUUCAGCAUAGGAUGAGAUAUUUGCACCAGUAGUUUUAAAGCUCUCCAGGUGAUUCUAUUUGGGACUCAUUGAUCUAAGUAUCGCAAGUAACAUUUGAGAAAACCAAGGCCUGGAAGGAAGAUGGUGGGGUAAGAAGCUCCAGAAAUAUGUCUCUUCAUCAGUGCUACAAUUGAACUGCCAAGAAGUAUCUUAAGCAACUAUUUUGGAACCUUGGAUUCUAGUUGAACGGUUGCAUUGCCCAGAGGAAUGCUUGAAGAGACUGGUAAAUUUUGACCUAAAUGUAAGACAGGAAGCCAUCAAAAUCCUCGAGGAGAAAGCAGGCAAAAACCUCUUUGACCUUGGCCGCAACAACUUCGUACUCAACACAUCUCUGGAGGCUAGGGAAACAAAAUAAAAAAUGAACUAUUGGGACCUCAUCAAAAUAAAAAGCCUCUUCACAGCGAAGGAAACAGUCAGCAAAACUAAAAAGCAACCGAUGGAGUGGGAGAAGAUAUUUGCAAACAACAUAUCAGAUAAAGGGUUAAUAUCAAAAAUCUAUAAACAACUUAUCAAACUCAACACCCAAAACACAAAUAAUCCAGUGAAGAAAUGGGCAAAAGACAUGAAUAGACACUCCUCCAAAGAAGACAGCCAGAUGGCCAACUGACACAUGAAAAAAUACUCAACAUCCCUCAUCAUCAGGGAAAUACAAAUCAAAACCACAAUGAGAUACCACCUCACACCUGUCAGAAUGGCUAACAUUAACAACUCAGGCAACAACAGGUGCUGGCAAGGAUAUGGACAAAGAGGAUCUCUUUUGCACUGCUGGUGGGAAUGCAAACUGGUGCAGCCACUCUGGAAAACAGGAUGGAGGUUCCUCAAAAAAUUAAAAAUAGAACUGCACUACAACCCAGCAAUUGCACUACUAAGUAUUUAUCCAAGGGAUACAGGGAUGCUGUUUUGAAGGGGCACAUGCACUCCAAUGUUUAUAGCAGCACUAUCAACAAUAGCCAAAGUAUGGAAAGAGCCCAAAUGUCCAUCAGUGGAUGAAUGGAUAAAGAAGAUGUGGAGUUGUUCCAUGUCAGGAAAUCUGGGUUUGUCCUUCCUCCACACCUGCUAUUACAGAGGCUUCAGUAAAUCUGCACUGGGUGCCUGGCUGAUUGAAUGAUGGAUGAAAUUCUACAGCAAGUGUUUUCCAAUGUUCCAUAUGAGGAAACAAGAACAGCAGGCAAAUCAGUUACAGAGAGAGACAAGAG